GUCACGGCAAAAUCCGUGACCGGGUUUGGCGACCCGAAUCACUCAAGGCGCAGUAGCGCCCAAACCAUUGCAGGCGCUUUUUUU
rnacentral:sRNA from 1 species